GUCCACUGAACCUUAUCAUUUAGAGGAAGGAGAAGUCGUAACAAGGUUUCCGUAGGUGAACCUGCGGAAGGAUCAUUGUCGAGGCCCGAAUGGACUAUUGUGAACUCGUGAACGCACCCGUGGGAGGCUCGGAUGUGCGGGGCGGCAUCUGCUACCCUCAUGGCCACGCCUUCCUCGGUGGCUCCGUGGCCCAUCGCCCGCCCCGCCUUAGUGCGGGACGGGCGGAGCCGAACAAGACCCGGGCGCGGAGGGCGCCAAGGAACAAUGCUUUCGGAGAGCUGAGGGCGCUGAACCGCCCACGCUGGGGAGGCGCACAAAGCGAUCUUGAAAUAUCGUGAACUUAUACGACUCUCGGCAACGGAUAUCUUGGCUCUCGCAUCGAUGAAGAACGUAGCGAAAUGCGAUACUUGGUGUGAAUUGCAGAAUCCCGCGAACCAUCGAGUCUUUGAACGCAAGUUGCGCCCGAGGCUAUCCGGCCGAGGGCACGCCUGCCUGGGCGUCACGCCUCACGUCGCUCCGCGCGUCGCCUCCUCCGGCAGGUGCGGAAGUGGAGAUUGGCCCCCUGUGCCUCGUGGUGCAGUGGGUUGAAGUGCGUGCCGUCGGCUUGGUCGAGUCGCGACGAGUGGUGGACGCAAAAGGACGGCGCUGAACGUCGCGAACCAUCGGCCUCGGCGGUGCAUGCAAGGAACCCAUGCCGACGGGCGCUCGCGAGCUCCCUCGGAAACACGACCCCAGGUCAGGCGGGGACACCCGCUGA
rnacentral:rRNA from 1 species